rnacentral:rRNA from 1 species
AAGUCUUUACGGAGAAAGCUUUAUGCACCAUUGGAUGAGCCUGCACUUGAUUAGUUUGUUGGUGGGGUAAUGGCCUACCAAGACUGUGAUCAAUAGCUGAUUUGAGAGGAUGAUCAGCCACAUUGGGACUGAGACACGGCCCAAACUCCUACGGGAGGCAGCAGUGGGGAAUCUUGCACAAUGGAGGAAACUCUGAUGCAGCGAUGCCGCGUGAGUGAAGAAGGCCCUUGGGUUGUAAAGCUCUUUCGUCGGGGAAGAAAAUGAC